AACCGUAAGGUUAAGUUUACUAGACUGUCCUUAGCGCCCCCCCAUUCUUUGCUUUAAUAUGCCUGCACUGUAAAUACAGUUAUAAAACUUGGCCAUCAGAAAGAACUUUAGAUGCUAAUUGCAUUCAGUAGACACAAUAUACUGUAUAGCAGCUGAGCCUUGACUGAACUUGUCUCUGGUUGAAGGAUAGAGAUCUAGCCAUCAGGAGAGCUGGGCAUCAAAGUCUGUGACUUGUGAUCUACACAGGCUUCUGUGUCAGGAAGACAGUGGCAUCUGUCUGCCUGUCCUUCCCUGCAGGUCAUCCUGGUCAGCACUGAGCCUCUGACCCACUCUGGCUAACAUUACAGCGCAUGCUCAGAUGUCCUCGUGACACCAGCUGCUUGUCCUCACUCCCUCUACUGACUGAAUGGCAUUAGAUUUGGGGUCUAGAGACCACUGUAGUGUGACAGAUGCUCCACUCCCCACGAAUUCCAACUUUCCUAUGCACACAAAGCUGACAGCAUUUGCAAUGAUCACAUGGUGGCGCUGCCCUCCAGCUGACAGUUCUGAACCAGCGCUCCCCUGCGAAAGGAAAGAGGAGUGCCUUACGUGGUUUCUGUAUCACUUUAGCUUACUCUUCAGAGUUUGGAAGACUCACAGAGUAUAAAAGGGGGAACAGAGAACAAACAGAAAAAUGCUUUAGAAAUGAGCAGAUAGGGCAGUUAGGUGGGUCCCCGCCUCAAGAAAAACCCUAAACCGAUUCCUUAACCAUCUGACUAGAGACUGGAGGUUAGCAUUUCCGUUUGUUUUUAUUUUGCAUAUGAAUGAUCAUGAAGAAUUCUUUCAUUAAUCUGCUGAGGCCAGAAGUCUUCAUCCUUCAUGGUGCUGACAAGACUCUCAAUUUUAAAGAGAUCCCAAGGACACAGAAUUUGAGAGUGGAAGGGACCUUUGAGAUCAUCCGGCAGUGUGUCUUGACUGCUUAGUGGGCAGAAGGACCACUGUGGCCCUAGCUUAUCAAGCAUGUUCCCUGGCUGCCCCCUGCAGCUUUGGGCGUCUGCAUUGUGAGCUAGCACCCUAUAACUCUAAUGAAGGCCUUGAGGCCUUAAGACUUUGAGAACCUGCAAUUAUAUCCAACUUCUGCAUACUACCGGUGAGGACACCCACCCAAGCUCUCCAAGAUACCCUGAUAGCAGGGUUAUCACACCAACAGUCCUAAAAAAAAAUCACUACUCAAAGGGAAGAUAAAAAUAAGAACGUUAUAGCUAGGAACACAGUGAUAGAGCCGUGGUUCUUCUCUUUUCUAAAUAACAUUCUAGCCUGUUAAGAGAAGAAAAAUUAAUGUUCAGAAAAAAGUAGCUACUCCAUAUGUGCAGUAACUACUUUUCUAUAAUGUCUUAUGGCAUCUGGGGUUCAGCAUCAUUGAACAAGAUUAAAUGAAUGUUACAGAGCUAUAAAAGCGCAUGUAAAAUACCGCAAAACUGUUCGGAGGACUAUCAAAGUAGCCUGGGAAUGAGUUCCCACUAAAAUUAAUUGUCACUUUCUAAACGUAGCUUAGCCAAGCUGUUACUAAACUGGAGGGAGUCUUUAAUACAUACAAGUGUUAAAAAGGAAUCAGAUAGGCGCUCCCCAGAGCAUGUGGAUGGGAGGCAGAGGUCAUCGUGAAGUCAGUACGUUUUGUCCAUCAUUGCUGCUGAAAUUUAUAGUCUCAUUGUAUCUGUGUGUGUCAGAUGUGCUUAUUAGAAUAUCCAAUAAACUGACCUUUGGAUAUUCUAUGCUCUGUGUCCUUCUGAAAUCAUGGGGUUAUAGGAAUGUGUGUUAUAUGUUAUUGUUUUGGUUGAUUCAUUUGAUGAAACACAACAUUUCCAAUUUUACCUUUGAACAUUAAAGUUGGAUUUUUUUUUCUUUGAACAUCUGUUUGGGAAGAAGUGUUUAUUUGGGAUUUGUUAAACUGGCAACUUUGUGUUACGGAAAUGACUCUAAAAUCAAUGCUUCCGAAUUUCUGAUGGGAAAUUAGUGUAUCUAUUGUUACAUGCAAAAAAAAAGCAAUUUAUUACAUUUAUUAAAACUGUAAAAGG
rnacentral:lncRNA from 1 species